GACAGAGGUGGCAAGCGUUGUUCGGAUUCAUUGGGUGUAAAGGGCAGGUAGGUGGCUGGGUAAGUCUGAUGUGAAAUCCCACGGCUCAACCGUGGAACUGCAUUGGAAACUGCUCGGCUUGAGUACCGCAGAGGUAAGGGGAAUUCCCGGUGUAAGGGUGAAAUCUGUAGAUAUCGGGAGGAACACCAGUGGCGAAGGCGCCUUACUGGGCGGUUACUGACACUGAGCUGCGAAAGCUAGGGGAGCAAACAGG
rnacentral:rRNA from 1 species